rnacentral:rRNA from 1 species
UGUAGUCGUACAUGGUACCCGUAGAGUUUGAUCCUGGCCCGUAGAGUUUGACCAUGGUUCCGAAAGUUUUAACAGGGUACCCGUAAAUUUUAACCGGGGAACCGGAAAUUUUUACCCGGGUACCAUAAAGUUUACCCCGGGGAACCGGAGCUUUUACCGGGGGAUACUUUCUUUCGCAUGAAGGAAAGUUGAAAGAUGGCUUCUCGCUAUCACUUACAGAUGGGCCCGCGGCGCAUUAGCUAGUUGGUGAGGUAACGGCUCACCAAGGCGACGAUGCGUAGCCGACCUGAGAGGGUGAUCGGCCACACUGGGACUGAAACACGGCCCAAACUCCUACGGGAGGCAGCAGUAGGGAAUCUUCCGCAGUGGACGAAAGUCUGACGGAGCAACGCCGCGUGAACGAUGAAGGUCUUCGGAUCGUAAAGUUCUGUUGUUAGGGAAGAACAAGUACCGUGCGAAUAGAGCGGUACCUUGACGGUACCUAACGAGGAAGCCCCGGCUAACUACGUGCCAGCAGCCGCGGUAAUACGUAGGGGGGCAAGCGUUGUCCGGAAUUAUUGGGGGGUAAAGCGCGCGCAGGGGGUUCCUUUAUUCUGAUGGGGAAAGCCCAU